rnacentral:misc_RNA from 1 species
AACGCAUCUUGCGCCCCUCGGUUACUCCGAAGGGCAUGCCUGUUUGAGAGUCAUUAUUAUUCUCAACUUUCAGACUUUUUGAAAGCUUUGGAUUAAUGGAGGGACAUUGCUGGCAAUCUUUGUUGUUGGCUCCUCUUAAAUACAUUAGUGGAACUGUCAAGGGAAAUUGGCUCUGGUUUGAUAAGUCUAUGCCAUUGCUGAGAGCUUUUCAUGGUUCAGCUUCUUUAACUUGCCAUCCAUGGGAUGUCAUUUUUUGAAACGUGACCUCAAAUCAGGUAGGACUACCCGCUGAACUUAA